CGAGACCAACUAGGCAGAAGAAAACACAAAAUUAAUUGAAACAAGAAAACUAAAAGUCCCCCUAUCCAGUAAAAAUUAAUGAAACUGCCAUCCACCACUCCACAAAUCUCACAUUAUUGCUGUCAGUUGCAGUUCUUCGGAGAAACUACUUUUCGUCAGAAUCGUCUAUCUUUUUCUCUGAUAGCAUGAAAGACCUUAGAGAUUCUCAGUCAGGUUCACGAUCCCCCUACCUUCCCAGUCCCAACGAAGCGACGGUGUAAGAAGGCACACUUUGUUCCAGGUAAAACUACUCUUCUCUCUUUAAACUCUCUAUGGCAAUAAUGUGAGCUGUUUGAUUUACCCAUCUAGGAAUAUGCUUAAACCAGAUCUUACUAAAUUGACCAUUAAUCUGGUGUAGUUCUCUAAUAUAAGCUCCUAUUUUUGACUUGUCUUCAACAUCGGCCUGACGUUUCUUUAUAAUUGUUAACACAUCUUCCUCGAUUUCUACUUCUCCCACACCCAUGGUUAUCCCUAACCUAACUGCAUUAUGUACCUCAUGGGUAUUAGAGUCAAUUAUUGAGUCAAGUAAUAAUUUGUAUGCGCUCCUAACUGAAAACUUGCCUGAAGAUUAACCUUUCCACACUAACAGUUUAUCGUAUUCCACCGUGGCCAGAGUGAUCCGCAAAAUUCUAUCUGCAUCUUCAACGAAAAAGGUAUCUCGGAUCACAUCUUCUUUCCAAGAUCUACACAAGCUAUCAAUUAAUUCUACGACUCUAGUUUUUCCAUUACCACGAACAAAACCACUGAUUUUGUAAUUAAUAGAUCCAAGGAUCCAAGCAUCCUCCACAACAUUGAUUUUGUCACCCUUGCCCACUCUCUAACAAAGGUCUAUCUCCAGAAGGCCCUUAAUGGCUCAAAUACUUUACCAGAUAUACCACAGUAAUUCCCCAACCUAACAUUCAAAAAAUACUCUUCAGAUAGUAUUUUGCUUUUAAAACCCAUGCUAAUAAAGAAUUUGGAUAAUGUAUAAGACGCUAACCUUGCUUUGCUAAAAACGCUAAGUUGAAUUUAGAUAGGCUGCGAAAACCUAAACCUCCCACCUUUUUCAACUCGCACAACCUAUUCCAUUCACACCAACAGAUACCUCUCUAGCCAUACCCUUUUUUCCACCAAAACCUAUACAUAGUACCCUCUAUUUUAGCACAAAGAAAUUUAGGUAACAAAAAAUACAUCAUAAAGUACGUAGGAAUAGCUCAGAGGCCUGUUUUAAUGAAAACUUCCUUACCCCAUUGAGAUAAAAAUCUCGUUCUCCAACUAUCAGUUCUCCAUUUGAACCGGUCUUUUAAAAUUUGAAAUGCCAAUCUCUUACUUCUCCCAUCCUCAUACUGUAGUCCCUCUAUUUCAUUAGUACUUAUUCUCUACGAGGCAUACUUAUAGAAGAAAGUUGUGUUUUUAUCUCCCAACUAUAGCCAAUUUACAUGCACUCGCUGCUCCCAAAACAUCUUGUCAUUAUCUAUCUCUGAAUUCAACUUAAUUUUCGUGUCAAUCAACUCUUCUAAGGUAAUAUCAUCGUUCUCAUUUUCCAAAAAGUCACCCAAUUUACUAGUCAAUUUGUGGCGAAGUCUGUCCCUUUCCCCUCAAAUCGAUUUGGCCCAUUUACGCAACCCGUUCUGAACCUGCUCAAGCUUCACAAACAAAUUGCUUUCAUCACCACCGCAUAACUUCCAAACCUCUUCCUAAAAAAACUCUUCCAUUACCCACCAUGCCUUAAAACGAAACCGCAUAAUUCUUUGAUGAAUGUCCUGCUCUGUUUGGAUAAGGAGAAGGCAAUGAUUUAAAUACGAGUAGGGUAUAUGUCAUACCAUGAAGUUAGGGAACAAAUUCAACAAUCUUUCAUUAGCCACUCCUCUGUUCAACCUCUCUUUGAUAUUUGUCUCUGAAAGAUUCUACCUUUCCCAUGUAUACCAUGAUCCAAAAUAGUCCACAUCCACUAAGUAAUAACCCUCUAAAACUCCUCGAAACAUUUCCAUCCUCCUUUCAUCCCUAGGAGCACCCCACUUUCUCAAAGGAGUACAGGAUUUCGUUAAAAUCCCUACAUGCCACUCGCAAGGAAUCCUGUAAGGUCCUCAAUAACUUUAAAAUCCUCCACAAAUCCUCUCUUUUUCUAUCAUAAGGAGCCUAAUAAAACCAUGUGAAAUGCCAUUGUAAAUUUCUCUUAGACUCUUAAACAUCCACAUCAAUAUAAUACGCUGAGUAACUUAUAAGGGAGAUAGUGCUAUUACCUUUCCAAGCUAUGGUUAAAACACCUCGCAAACCAUUCGUAGAAACAUCGAACCCAUUAAAGCAACCAAUUCACCUUCGAACAUUCUCCAUUCUUUUAUCAUUCAAUUUAGUCUAAAUAAAUAAGACUAACUAGAGAUUAUACAUCUUUAGCAAAUGCCGAACCCUUCUAACUACCUGUAGCCUCCUCAAACCACGGACAUUCCAACUUAAGAUUUUCAUUGUGACCGGCCGACUUACCUCAUGGCAACCACCGAUAGAAAAUGGGCUCUCCCUAUUGGUUUUUCCUCCCUCACCACUAUCACAUUUUCUAUUCCAGUAAAACUUUGAGUUUUUCUUUGCCAUUGUUAAUCGGCAUCUCAUCCGCAUCGAACUCCAUGUUAGCCUUACCUCAUUCCUGUUCCUGGCCUAGAUUUUUGUUACCCAUUCCAAGUUAAGUCCUAAUAUAGGAUCCAACCGCACUCCCAAACCUCUACAAAUCCGUUUUUGAGAUCUAUUCCCCAUAUUCGAUUGUUGACUAUUACCCCCAAAUCUACCCCCAUUAGUAUCUUCUAUCAACCACACACUCUGCAUUGCAAAAACUCUCCUAAAUUAUGUAUGAAGGGAUAUAUCCCAUCCUAACUCGAUAGACUCUUUUCCUUUUGACAUCUUGAUUUGAUAGAAAGAGUUAUUGUGCCCAAGGUGACCACAGUAAAAGCAAAACAUAGUUAAUCUCUAAUAUUUGAAACUGACAUAAUAACAGUUUCUCGAUGCAAAAAUAAUCUUUUUCUUCCACUUCAAAGGCCUCCUAACAUCCAACUGAACCCUGACCUGAAGAAAGUUUUGUACACCCUUACUUAGAUUCUUCGAAUCAUAUUCUAAUAACUUGCCUAAAAAUUCUCCCAAUCGUCGGACAACAACCUCUGAGAAAAAACUCAUUUGUAACUUACGAACUUGGAUCCAAAAAUUAACAAAAAUUAAUGGAACCUUCAUCUGAUCUUUCCCUUCCCCCAAUCGAUGGAACACUAAGAGGUGGUUAUUAAAAGUCCACAACGCAUCAUUUAAAACUCGAUCCAAAUCCAACAUAUGAAAUAAUUUAAAAAUAAAUCUUUUAUCAUGCAAAUUUGAUAUCUGAGCUCCUCUAACAGGAUGCUAGACAUUUGCUAUUGUGCUUUUCAUAGCAGGAUAAUGUACUAUACUCACCGUUAGAAAACAACCAACCAAACUAAAAUUAUUUUCCACCACAUGAGAAAUGGGAUCUUUUUAAAUCAGCAGACCCUCAUCUUCAACAUCUUCCAAAGAAAGAUAUGCUAACUCAUUUUCCAUUUUUGUAAGCCAAAAAACUCAGAUCCACUCCACCAAAUAAAUAAAAAACUGUUGCCAAAAGAAUAAAAAAGAAAAUUCGUAACGAAAAAAUCCAGAGAAAAGAGACAUAGGCAUGCUUGCAUAGCAGACACAGACAUGUUAGAAUAGCAUACUUCUCAUCAACUCCAUAUAAGAAUAAGCUUUUUUAAUCAAAUUCAAAAUCGCGUAAUUAAUUUAAUUUGCACGAUAUGAAAAUUUGAAUAAAUACAACUUUUGUUUUUACUUUUCUUUCAAUUUAGACCCCACACUAAGGUUUAGACUCAUAAUCAAAUACACAAAUCCGCCACCUCGAGUUGUUCGACAAUGAUGGUUAUCAAAGUAUCCACAACCCUCUAGGAAUUGGGGCUCAUAAUAAUAAAACCUGAUCAAGUUGACCUUUUCUCCCUCGACCCUCUGGUAAUUGGAGAAUUCUAAAUAAUCUGAUGUAAAGACUCUAUGACAUACCAACUAUAUCUUAUCUAGCCGAACUUAGUGAAAUGGGGGUAAAAACCAAAUUUUAUGAUCCAUUUUCAUAUAAUUCUCAUUUCAAUUUUGUUUCUUGUUCAAAUCACAUAUCGCCUAAUAUAAAAUUAGGCUUCAAAUUCAAAACAUAUUAAACAUUUUCUUGCUCAACCAUCUAAAAUCAUAAUACUCAAAUUCAAAUCAUAACCAUGAAUAUGCUAAUUUAAUCAUUUGAAAAAUAUAGUGUUCAUCUUGAAACCUAAUUUUAUAAAUAUUAACUAAAUCAUUCAAACUCAUCCAAAACUCAUAAAAAUAGAAUAAAAUUAAUAUAACUAGCCAUAGUAAACUAAAUAUUCUAAAGUUUUAUGUAAUGAAAAUAAUAUAUUAGCAUAAAUCGAAGUUUCAAUUGCUUUAAUCCUUUCUGCCUUUCUCCUUCAAGAUGCUUGCUUCAUUUUUAGUUACAAUAGGAGCAAUUCAAUACAAAAAAAAGUCAUUUAUCCAUUCUAAUACUAAAACUAGUAAAAACAAACUUAAAUAUGAAUGGUUAAUCAAGUUGACAACUUAAGUUUCCUAGUUUGAAAUUCGCAUAUCUUUCGACUUGAUUAUCCGUUUUCAUUUUCGUCUUCACCACAUACUCACUGUUUCGCAAGCUAUCAUUUAGCACCAAUAUUACACAAAGUAGCCAAGGUGAUUUCCUUUUCACCAUGACCAAAUGUACCACGUAAACUUUCUAUCCAUUUUUAUUUCUUCUUCACACUUCUAACAAGCUAUAAUUCAUCUUCUAAUCAUUUCUUAUAAAAAAAAUGUACCUAUUUCACUUACGUUUUCUAAGCUUCCAUUAAUAUCCUUUAAUGGAAACUUUCAAUAUACUUGAUAAAAUAAAAAAAAUAUUGGUACAUAUAUGUAAAAUAAGCUUCAAAGACUCAAAAUCUGUGAAAAGUUUUAAGAAAAACCAUAUCUUAUGCUUGAAUUUGAAGGAAAAUGAUGAAAUAAUUUUUUUCUUCUUCUUUCCCCAACUUUCGUGAAUAAGAAAGAAACAUAAAGAAAGAUGUUCAUCUUUUUUUUAUUUAUAUUAUAAUAAUACUUAAUAAGAUACUAAUAUUUUAAAUAAAAUAUUAAAUAAUAAUUAUUUAAUAAAAUUAUCAUUUAAAAGCCAUAAUGAAACCAUUGAUUUUUUUAAGUAAUGGUAAAAUUGCCAUUAAGUCAUUUCUAUCAAAAUAAAAAUAGGACAAUUGCACUUUAGUCUAUAUACUUUUCCAAUUUAUUCAAUUUAGUCCAUGAGCUCGAUACCAGAUUUUUAACUAAACUACAUGCUCCUACUAAUAAUUUUCUAUGUUUUCAUAUCAGAUAGUUUUCUUUAAAAAUGAUCACAAUUUCUUAUACUACUAUUUAUUUAUAGAUCACUUAUUCAAGGAAUUCUACCAUAAAUAUUCUUUUUUUUAAAGUGGGGAUGUUAUAAAAGAUGUUUGAAAACUAAUGUCAUUUGUAAGAAAAUUGUAAUAGCUCGAAUUUUAGUGGUGACAGAACAGUGGUUUUGGGACCAUAAAUUUCCAUUGUGUCAACUCGUAAAUAUUAUUUUAAGAAUAUUUAUAGAUUCAUUAGAUUUGUAUUAAAAUUUGGUUAAGAAAUUUUAACGUUUAGAUAGUUAAUUAUAGAAAAAGGACUAAAUUGAAAAAGGUCUAAAAUGUGGUAAUUAUAACAUUUUGCUGAUUUAAGGGCUUAAUUAUUAAAUUAUAAAGGAAAAAUGUAGUAAAUAGCCCUUAUUAUUGACAUUGGAUGGCAUAUGUAUUAAAAUUAUAAAAUAUUACAUGUUUUAAUUGCAAAAUGGUAAAUUUUAUGAAAUAAAAACAAAAUUAAAUUAAGAAAAAUACAUUUCUUCUUCAUCUAUUAAAUUCAUCUUGCCAAAACACCAUAAGAACUUAACUUUGAGGUUCGACCAUUGUUAACUCUUGCAUGUAAGUCCAUUUUGAUUCUAUUUCUUAUAAUUUUUAUGUUUUUGAGAUCAUUACAAUUAGGUCCAGCUAGCUCGUACCUUCGAUUUUGAAUCUGUUAAAAAUUUUAGAAGUUUCCAUUGAUUAAUCCUAAAUUUUUUUGAGGAUAACCAUGUAUUUGAAGCUUUGGUUGUGUUGUUUGAUUAUUUUUUGAAGUGAUUUUUGUUAAAUUUUGAUUUUAGGACUAAAUUGUGAAAGUAUCAAAAUUUUAAGAUUUGAUAGUGAAUUUGAUGUUUAGUAAGGACUGUAUAAAGGCAUAGUAUAUUCGACUAUAAUUUUGACUUGAGAAAAAUAGUUAAUUUGAUGAUUUUUGGGUUAAUGGAUUAAUUUAUAAAAAUUAUAAAAGUUUGGGGUAAUUGUGUAAAUUUAGAAAAUAAGAGUAUUAAAUGUAAAAUGAAUUGGAAUGUGAAAUGUAAGCUGAUAAUUGAGAAAUUUUAUAUUUUAGAUCAAGACCCAAUUGAUACUCGUGGGAAAGGAAAAAUUAUGGAAUAGUCCUUGAACCUCUAUAACUACAACAAUUUAGUCCAAGUAAGUUUGUUUGGUUUAAAAUUUAACAUCUAUAUGAAUUUUUGAAUAAUAUAAAAUGGUACAAUAGAUAUAUUUAUAUUAUUGAUGAUGAAAUGUUAUUUGAGAAAUAUUAUUGAAUUUGAUGUUUGGAUCGAAUUGAAUGCGGGGUAGAGUACAAUCGAGAUAUGGUAUGUUAUAGGGGAUUGGAGUGGAGAUUUUUGUGGAGACUGUUUCCUGAGUGGGCCGAGGUUCAACAUUUUUUGAGAACUCUCAUGUUAUACUCUCUGUUUUGGUGUGCUUCAGUUGGAUUAGCUCUUAUGAGCAUUGGUGUGUUUCGAAAGGAUUAGCUCUUAUGAGCAUUGGUGUAUUUCGGAUGGAUUAGCUCUUAUGAGCAUCUGGUGUGGUUUGGUUGGAUUGUCGAUGUACUCUUAUUCGUAAGUCGUUCAUCGAAUUGAAAAUCUCGGUAAGGUAACUUGUUGAGUGAUUUUGAUGGAUUUUCCAUAUAUUUGUGUAUUAAAUUGAACAUUUAUGAUUUAUCGAUUGAGAUUGUGGAUGAUAGGGACCAUUCAUGGUUGUAUUCAUAUUACUAUUUCAAUUGUUGUACUUACUUCGGUAAUAUUUAUCAUUUUAAUACAUCAAACUUACUAAGCUUCAUUGAGUUUACUUGUGUUAAUUAUUGUUCUUAUAGAUUCUCGGAAGGUUGGACAAUCGGGUCGGCACUCAAGUUACAUGGCAUGAGGCAUGUAAUAGGCUUUUGUGUCAUUAUUAUUUGUUUUGGAUAUGUAAAACCUUAGGUAUGAUCUUAAAUGCUAAUUGUUAACUUAUAUGAUACAUGUGUAUGAGGUAAAUUAUUUUGGAUGCAAAUAUGAAUGUUAUGUGUUAAACUAAUGUUGUGUUUGAGGUUUUUAUUAUAGGUACAUUGGUUAGGUGUUAGAUUUGGUGAAUUAAUAAGUUAUGAUUGAUGUUACAUGUUGAUGUAUAUUUGUAUAUACUUGUGGUAUCAAUGAGGAUAUAUUAGUUAGAGAUUUAGGAGGUUGAUUUGGCAUGUUUUUGGGCUUGUUUAAUGUCAAUUUGAAUAGGUCUUUUGGUUGGUAAAUGGAUUACGUAGAGUUCAAGUAAGUUUGAAUGGUAAACUUUUUGUUCAAGGUUCAUUUUGGGUCCACACAGCUUGAGACACGGGCGUGUGGCUCAACCGUGUGAGACACACGGCCUGGCGACACGACCAUGUGUUCUCUGAUGAGUUUUUAGGGUGCAAGUUAGUGAGGUACACGACCUAGCACACGGGCGUGUGAGGAAAUUUUGAUUGUUACACGGCCUGACACACGGGCGUGUGACAUGGCCGUGUGACCCUACUCAGAGAGUUACACGGAUGAGGACACAAGUUGGGACACGACUGUUUGUCCCUAGUUCGAU
rnacentral:lncRNA from 1 species